UGGGUCAUCAGGUGGCACAGCUGGCUCUGUUUGUCAGUGACCCAGACAAGGACAUCAGCCGGCAGGCCAGGGAGGGGAUUAACCGGCUGUACCAGCUGCUGCUCCAACAGAGGGGGCUGACCAUACACGAGGCAGAAGAUCUGUGGUGCCAUGACUGGCACCAGGACAGCAGGCUCCUGGGCUAUAAGAACACAGCCAGGGUGGGGGAGGUCUUUGGAAAAUUCUUCUCUGAGGGACAGAGAAAAUACUUCCUCCAGACAGCAAUUCUGGCAAUCUAUGACCCCCU